UUCGUUGCUGGUUUUCUUUUCAAUUUCUUUUUUUUUUCUUUUUCUUUCUUCUUUCAUUUUUUCUUUUUUCUUGGUAUUUUGGGGGGACAAAAUCAUGAGCACGAGAACAAAUUAAAGAAAAUGUGGAGAAGAGUUAGGAAACUCAAGAUUCAAACAAAUCCAAGCAAAAAAGGAUUUUAUCUUUAAUUUUUGUAUUUUCUUUAUUAUUUUCUAUCAUUUGUAAUGGCUGUCGGCUCAAGCCGACCAUGGCUCCGCCCAAAAAAAGCUCGAGCUAACCUGGCUCAAAACUCAGUGGAAUCGAGAUGAAACUCGGGCCGAGAUCCAUUUUGGACAUUAGCCCGAGCCAUGCGGGCCACUUUCGACCCGCAACUAGGCAACCAUAUAUAUGAAGCUGACACACAGCUCUGUAUUCUCAGUUGCUUCCUUUUGCUACUACUAGCUGCCAACUAACAACUUUAAUUAAUUUUACUAUUUGCCUUUCAAUGUUUAAAUGCUGAUUUUCAUUUAUGCGGCUAAUGAAUUAUUAAGUUUAGUGAUUUGUAC
rnacentral:lncRNA from 1 species